rnacentral:rRNA from 1 species
AGUGAACGCUGGCGGUAGGCCUAACACAUGCAAGUCGAACGGCAGCACAGUAAGAGCUUGCUCUUACGGGUGGCGAGUGGCGGACGGGUGAGGAAUACAUCGGAAUCUACUUUUUCGUGGGGGAUAACGUAGGGAAACUUACGCUAAUACCGCAUACGACCUACGGGUGAAAGCAGGGGAUCUUCGGACCUUGCGCGAUUGAAUGAGCCGAUGUCGGAUUAGCUAGUUGGCGGGGUAAAGGCCCACCAAGGCGACGAUCCGUAGCUGGUCUGAGAGGAUGAUCAGCCACACUGGAACUGAGAGACGGUCCAGACUCCUACGGGAGGCAGCAGUGGGGAAUAUUGGACGAUGGGCGCAAGCCUGAUCCAGCCAUACCGCGUGGGUGAAGAAGGCCUUCGGGUUGUAAAGCCCUUUUGUUGGGAAAGAAAAGCAGCAGGUUAAUACCCCGCUGUUCUGACGGUACCCAAAGAAUAAGCACCGGCUAACUUCG